CUGAGGGUAAGUCAGUGGUAGACAUCCUGGUUUGGAAUCAGGGAGCCGCAGGUUCGAAUCCCGCUCCUCAGACCA
rnacentral:tRNA from 1 species